rnacentral:rRNA from 1 species
CCUACGGGCGGCAGCAGUAGGGAAUAUUGCUCAAUGGGGGAAACCCUGAAGCAGCAACGCCGCGUGGAGGAUGAAGGUUUUCGGAUUGUAAACUCCUUUUGUUAGAGAAGAUAAUGACGGUAUCUUACUGAUAAGCACCGUCUAACUCCGUGCCAGCAGCCGCGGUAAUACGGAGGGUGCAAGCGUUACGCGGAAUCACUGGGCGUAAAGAGCGCGUAGGCGGGAUAGCAAGUCAGAUGUGAAAUCCUAGGGCUUAACCACAGAACUGCAUUUGAAACUGUUAUUAUAGAGUAUGGGAGAGGUAGGUGGAAUGCUUGGUGUAGGGGUAAAAUCCGUAGAGAUCAAGAGGAAUACUCAUUGCGAAGGCGACCUGCUAGAACAUAACUGACGCUGAUGCGCGAAAGCGUAGGGAGCAAACAGGAUUAGAUACCCCUGUAGUC